GAAGGUGGCCUGUGAGGGUUGCUGGAGGUAUCAGAAGUGCGAAUGCUGACAUAAGUAACGAUAAAGCGGGUGAAAAGCCCGCUCGCCGGAAGACCAAGGGUUCCUGUCCAACGUUAAUCGGGGCAGGGUGAGUCGACCCCUAAGGCGAGGCCGAAAGGCGUAGUCGAUGGGAAACGGGUUAAUAUUCCCGUACUUGGUGUUACUGCGAAGGGGGGACGGAGAAGGCUAUGUUGGCCGGGCGACGGUUGUCCCGGUUUAAGCGUGUAGGUGUGUGUUCCAGGUAAAUCCGGUUCACUUUAACACUGAGGCGUGAUGACGAGGCACUACGGUGCUGAAGCAACAAAUGCCCUGCUUCCAGGAAAAGCCUCUAAGCAUCAGGUAACAUCAAAUCGUACCCCAAACCGACACAGGUGGUCAGGUAGAGAAUACCAAGGCGCUUGAGAGAACUCGGGUGAAGGAACUAGGCAAAAUGGUGCCGUAACUUCGGGAGAAGGCACGCUGACACGUAGGUGAAGUGAUUUACUCAUGGAGCUGAAGUCAGUCGAAGAUACCAGCUGGCUGCAACUGUUUAUUAAAAACACAGCACUGUGCAAACACGAAAGUGGACGUAUACGGUGUGACGCCUGCCCGGUGCCGGAAGGUUAAUUGAUGGGGUCAGCGCAAGCGAAGCUCCUGAUCGAAGCCCCGGUAAACGGCGGCCGUAACUAUAACGGUCCUAAGGUAGCGAAAUUCCUUGUCGGGUAAGUUCCGACCUGCACGAAUGGCGUAAUGAUGGCCAGGCUGUCUCCACCCGAGACUCAGUGAAAUUGAACUCGCUGUGAAGAUGCAGUGUACCCGCGGCAAGACGGAAAGACCCCGUGAACCUUUACUAUAGCUUGACACUGAACAUUGAGCCUUGAUGUGUAGGAUAGGUGGGAGGCUUUGAAGCGUGGACGCCAGUCUGCGUGGAGCCGACCUUGAAAUACCACCCUUUAAUGUUUGAUGUUCUAACGUGGACCCGUAAUCCGGGUUGCGGACAGUGUCUGGUGGGUAGUUUGACUGGGGCGGUCUCCUCCUAAAGAGUAACGGAGGAGCACGAAGGUUGGCUAAUCCUGGUCGGACAUCAGGAGGUUAGUGCAAUGGCAUAAGCCAGCUUGACUGCGAGCGUGACGGCGCGAGCAGGUGCGAAAGCAGGUCAUAGUGAUCCGGUGGUUCUGAAUGGAAGGGCCAUCGCUCAACGGAUAAAAGGUACUCCGGGGAUAACAGGCUGAUACCGCCCAAGAGUUCAUAUCGACGGCGGUGUUUGGCACCUCGAUGUCGGCUCAUCACAUCCUGGGGCUGAAGUAGGUCCCAAGGGUAUGGCUGUUCGCCAUUUAAAGUGGUACGCGAGCUGGGUUUAGAACGUCGUGAGACAGUUCGGUCCCUAUCUGCCGUGGGCGCUGGAGAACUGAGGGGGGCUGCUCCUAGUACGAGAGGACCGGAGUGGACGCAUCACUGGUGUUCGGGUUGUCAUGCCAAUGGCACUGCCCGGUAGCUAAAUGCGGAAGAGAUAAGUGCUGAAAGCAUCUAAGCACGAAACUUGCCCCGAGAUGAGUUCUCCCUGAGACUUUAAGUCUCCUGAAGGAACGUUGAAGACGACGACGUUGAUAGGCCGGGUGUGUAAGCGCAGCGAUGCGUUGAGCUAACCGGUACUAAUGAACCGUGAGGCUUAACCUUACAACGCCGAAG
rnacentral:rRNA from 2 species